rnacentral:sRNA from 2 species
AUAUCUCUCUGUACGGGAAGGAUGAGAAGCUUCGACUAAGGUUCGAUUCGAGCGCAGCGAGAAAGCGUUGCCGCAGGCAACGACCCGAAGGGCGAAACGCGCAGCGCUGAGUCAUCCUUCCCCCACCACCA